AGCAAACCUCAGAAAGCCAAUCUCAGUCCGGAUUGUAGGCUGCAACUCGCCUACAUGAAGUUGGAAUCGCUAGUAAUCGCGAAUCAGAAUGUCGCGGUGAAUACGUUCCCGGGUCUUGUACACACCGCCCGUCACACCACGAGAGUUAGGAAUACCCGAAGCCUGUGAGCCAACUUUUCAAGAGGCAGCAGUCGAAGGUAGAACUAAUGAUUGGGGUGAAGUCGUAACAAGGUAUC
rnacentral:rRNA from 1 species